rnacentral:rRNA from 1 species
GACGAACGCUGGCGGCGUGCCUAAUACAUGCAAGUCGAGCGCAGGAAACCGUCUGAACCCUUCGGGGGGACGACGGUGGAAUGAGCGGCGGACGGGUAAGUAACACGUAAAGAACCUGCCCACGGGUCUGGGAUAACCACGAGAAAUCGGGGCUAAUACCGGACGGGUCAUCGGAACGCAUGGUCCGAGGAUGAAAGGCGCUCCGGCGUCGCCCGUGGAUGGCUUUGCGGUGCAUUAGCUAGUUGGUGGGGUAACGGCCCACCAAGGCGACGAUGCAUAGCCGACCUGAGAGGGUGAUCGGCCACACUGGGACUGAGACACGGCCCAGACUCCUACGGGAGGCAGCAGUAGGGAAUCUUCCACAAUGGACGAAAGUCUGAUGGAGCAAUGCCGCGUGAACGAUGAAGGCCCUCGGGUCGUAAAGUUCUGUUGUAAGGGAAGAACAAGUGCCGCAGGCAAUGGCGGCACCUUGACGGUACCUUGCGAGAAAGCCACGGCUAACUACGUGCCAGCCGCCGCAGUAAUAC